AUGAACGCUGGCGGCGUGCCUAAUACAUGCAAGUCGCGCGAACAGACGAGGAGCUUGCUCCUCUGACGUUAGCGGCGGACGGGUGAGUAACACGUGGAUGACCUACCUAUAAGACUGGGAUAACUUCGGGAAACCGGAGCUAAUACCGGAUAAUAUAUUGAACCGCAUGGUUCAAUAGUGAAAGACGGUUUUGCUGUCACUUAUAGAUGGAUCCGCGCCGCAUUAGCUAGUUGGUAAGGUAACGGCUUACCAAGGCGACGAUGCGUAGCCGACCUGAGAGGGUGAUCGGCCACACUGGAACUGAGACACGGUCCAGACUCCUACGGGAGGCAGCAGUAGGGAAUCUUCCGCAAUGGGCGAAAGCCUGACGGAGCAACGCCGCGUGAGUGAUGAAGGUCUUCGGAUCGUAAAACUCUGUUAUUAGGGAAGAACAAAUGUGUAAGUAACUAUGCACGUCUUGACGGUACCUAAUCAGAAAGCCACGGCUAACUACGUG
rnacentral:rRNA from 1 species